AUUGAACGCUGGCGGAAUGCUUUACACAUGCAAGUCGAACGGCAUCACAGUGUGUAGCAAUACACAUGGGUGGCGAGUGGCGGACGGGUGAGUAACGCGUAGGAAUCUGCCUUGAAGAGGGGGACAACCCGAGGAAGCUCGGGCUAAUACCGCAUAAUAUCGAGAGAUUAAAGCUGGGUUUACCUGGCACUUCAAGAGGAGCCUGCGUCCGAUUAGCUAGUUGGUGAGGUAAGAGCUCACCAAGGCGAUGAUCGGUAGCUGGUCUGAGAGGAUGAUCAGCCACACUGGGACUGAGACACGGCCCAGACUCCUACGGGAGGCAGCAGUGGGGAAUAUUGGACAAUGGGGGCAACCCUGAUCCAGCAAUACCGCGUGUGUGAAGAAGGGCUUCGGGUUGUAAAGCACUUUAGUUGGGGAAGAAGGUGUGCAGUUUAAGAGACAGUACGCUUGACGGUACCCAAAGAAUAAGCACCGGCUAACUCUGUGCCAGCCGCCGCAGUAA
rnacentral:rRNA from 1 species